UACGGGGGGGGCAAGCGUUGUUCGGAAUUACUGGGCGUAAAGGGCUCGUAGGCGGCCAACUAAGUCGGACGUGAAAUCCCCAGGCUCAACCUGGGAACUGCGUCUGAUACUGGAUGGCUUGAGUUCGGGAGAGGGAUGCGGAAUUCCAGGUGUAGCGGUGAAAUGCGUAGAUAUCUGGAGGAACACCGGUGGCGAAGGCGGCAUCCUGGACCGAUACUGACGCUGAGGAGCGAAAGCCAGGGGAGCAAACAGG
rnacentral:rRNA from 1 species